rnacentral:rRNA from 1 species
GUGGGGAAUAUUGGACAAUGGGCGAAAGCCUGAUCCAGCCAUGCCGCGUGUGUGAAGAAGGUCUUCGGAUUGUAAAGCACUUUAAGUUGAGAGGAAGGGCAGUAAGUUAAUACCUUGCUGUUUUGACGUUACCAACAGAAUAAGCACCGGCUAACUUCGUGCCAGCAGCCGCGGUAAUACGAAGGGUGCAAGCGUUAAUCGGAAUUACUGGGCGUAAAGCGCGCGUAGGUGGUUCAGCAAGUUGAAGGUGAAAUCCCCGGGCUCAACCUGGGAACUGCCUCCAAAACUGCAUGACUAAAGUACGGUAGAGGGUAGUGGAAUUUCCUGUGUAGCAGUGAAAUGCGUAGAUAUAGGAAGGAACACCAGUGGCGAAGGCGACUACCUGGACUGAUACUGACACUGAGGUGCGAAAGCGUGGGGAGCAAACAGGAUUAGAUACCCGGGUAGUCC